AACAGGAGAGAUGAGAAUGGAAUGUUAACAUUUUGGUAUGAAGCAGGUCAACAUUGAAAAUGCAAAAAGCCUGGAUCCAGCUUCCUGAAAAGAAGCUCCUUGGACCCUCUUUGCAAGUUCAGUGCUUAACCUGACCGAACUGGCUGCCCUUCGGCCUGACCUUGGGAAACUGAAAAAGAUUCUGUAUUUUCACGAGAACCAGUUGAUAUAUCCUGUCAAGAAAUGUCAGGAGAGGGAUUUCCAAUAUGGAUACAACCAAAUUCUUUCGUGCCUGGUGGCUGAUGUGGUUGUAUUCAACUCAGUUUUUAAUAUGGAAUCCUUUCUCACUUCCAUUGGAAAAUUUAUGAAGCUGAUUCCUGAUCACAGACCCAAGGAUCUGGAAAGCAUCAUCAGACCCAAGUGCCAAGUUAUUUACUUUCCCAUCAGGUUUCCUGAUGUGAGCAGUAAACACUGGGCUACUCAUAUAAAACUUAUUUGAAGAGUGAGGAAUAAGAGUUUCCAGCAUUUGAAACUCAGAACCUGGUGGCUGUAGCAACACUCCUGUUCUGCCUCUUCCUGUGGCUAUCAGGUGAAUCCCUCUUUUUAUCCCUGAGUCCUGUUGGGAUAGCUGGCUGACGUCAUGAGGCGUGGGCUGAUGUUCUG
rnacentral:sRNA from 1 species